GAUGAAGAACGCAGCGAAAUGCGAUAAGUAAUGUGAAUUGCAGAAUUCAGUGAAUCAUCGAAUCUUUGAACGCACAUUGCGCCCGCUAGUAUUCUGGCGGGCAUGCCUGUUCGAGCGUCAUUAUAUACCCUCAAGCCCCCUGGCUUGUUGUUGGGGACCUGCCGCAUGGCCGCAGGCCCCGAAGUACAGUGGCGGGACGCCCGCGACCCCGAGCGUAGUAGCAUAACCUCGCCCUGGGAGUCGUUGGGUGCAGCCCGGCCGUUAAAUAACCAGGACCACUGCCGUAAGGCCGUGGCCCUCCUAAGUUGACCUCGGAUCAGGUAGGAAUACCCGCUGAACUUAAGCAUAUCAAUAAGCGGAGGA
rnacentral:misc_RNA from 1 species